rnacentral:misc_RNA from 1 species
UCUUCAAGUAGGUGUUCUUCAUCUCGUAGUGUCCAGGAUAGCUCAUCUAAUAGCAUGACUGGUAGCACAAAAGCUGAUGAUUUAGGCCGGUGAAAGAAUUUGCUAACAAACGGAAGCCAAGUUGUUCCGAAUUUGUGCUUAUCACUUGUUUUAUCUGUCUUCUCUCCUAGGAUCGUGCAGUCACUUUAGUCUUUAGUUUUUCCUCAAAUUAAAUCAAUCGUUAUGUGGUGAAGGCAGGGUGUGUCUGCUAACGUAGGCUAAUCUAGUCUAUUAUGAUGGACAUUUCUCUGCAUGAAUGCUGUGAGGGAUGUUGGUCACUGGUCAGGAUCGUCAUUAAUAUUUGCUUUCAUGGACCAGAAAGAUGCUUUAAGUGCAGUUAAAUGCUAGAUUUAAAUGAGAUCUAUUUGGUUGCAGGAAGACAA